rnacentral:rRNA from 1 species
UACGUAGGGGGCAAGCGUUGUCCGGAAUGAUUGGGCGUAAAGGGCGCGUAGGCGGCCAUGUAAGUCUGGAGUGAAAGUCCUUCUUUUAAGGAGGGAAUUGCUUUGGAUACUGUAUGGCUUGAGUGCUGGAGAGGUCAUCGGAAUUCCCAGUGUAGCGGUGAAAUGCGUAGAGAUUGGGAAGAACACCAGUGGCGAAGGCGGGUGACUGGACAGUAACUGACGCUGAGGCGCGAAAGUGUGGGGAG